AAGAAAUUGAGGUUCAAGUCCCAAAUACUGUGAUUUAUUAGCAGAUAAUGGAGAUAAGUGUGCAAGAGAUCUCGAACGAUGUACAAUUAUAACUGUUUGCCAGGAUUUGAAGAUCUUUCAAGGUGUCCAUCAAAAGCAUGAAGACGGAGAAGAAAGUGUCGUCUUUCGUGGAUCUAAUAAAGAUCGAAACAAAUUACCCAUAAUAGAAUCGGCUAUAUAACGGUUCUCAUAAAUCAUAAUUUGCAAUAAAUAAUAAAUCUAAAACGGUAAAAGAAAAAUAUAUUU
rnacentral:sRNA from 1 species